rnacentral:rRNA from 1 species
GAUGAACGCUAGCUACAGGCUUAACACAUGCAUGUCGAGGGGUAACGAGAGGGAAGCUUGCUUUCCUUGUCGACGACCGGCGCACGGGUGAGUAACGCGUAUCCAACCUGCCCCCAACUAGGGAAUAACCUUGCGAAAGUAAGACUAAUACCCUAUAAUUUCCUCAGAUGCCAUCUGACGAGGAAUAAAGAUUUAUCGGUUGUGGAUGGGGAUGCGUCUGAUUAGCUUGUUGGCGGGGUAACGGCCCACCAAGGCAACGAUCAGUAGGGGUUCUGAGAGGAAGGUCCCCCACAUUGGAACUGAGACACGGUCCAAACUCCUACGGGAGGCAGCAGUGAGGAAUAUUGGUCAAUGGGCGGAAGCCUGAACCAGCCAAGUAGCGUGCAGGAUGACGGCCCUAUGGGUUGUAAACUGCUUUUAUACAGGAAUAAAGUUAGCCACGUGUGGUUAUUUGUAGGUACUGUAUGAAUAAGGACCGGCUAAUUCCGUGCCAGCCGCCGCAGUAA